GUAUAUGUAUAUAUAAAUAUAUAUCAAUAAAUAAAAAAUUUAUAUGUUUAUAUAUCUAUACAUAUAUAUAAUGUGUGGUAUCAAGAAAAAGAUAAAAUAAUCACUAAGGUACGUUUCAUUUGCACAGAGCGUUUAUUCACGUUGUUUAUAUAUAUUUUUUUUUCUUUUUGUCGACUACGUGACACGUACGAUUCCUGUUCUACAAAAUUUGCCAUCGCACGAGACAUUCCGAGAUGAAAGACGAAUGUUCUACGCUUUGUCCCUUAUGUGGAAUAAUCACGAAUAAAAGUUUACCGCCGAAUUAAAAAUCCCAGCAAUUGCAAACCUCUACGUCUUUUGCAAAUGUGUAUGAUACGAAGUAAUAAGCAUCUUGCUUCUUCUCUUUUCUUCGAAACAGGUAGCGUACGCGGCAAGUGACGAGUAGGUAUACAUCAUGUACAGAAUUUACGCAGUGUUCACAUAUAUGUGUACGUAUGCGUGUAUACAUGUAUAUAUAAAUACAUAAAUAUAUAUAUCUGUGUGUAUACACACAUACACACAUUUUUCUCUUUUUUGGCAAAUUAAUUGCAUCCUAAUAUUUCUAUUUAUUCACAUUAUUCAUUCGCAUUAUUCACUGCUCACACGCAUGAGCCCCGCAGGUAUGUAAUAUUUAUGUACAUAUGUAUGUAUAUCCUUGUUUUCUUUCUCUCUCCUUCACACGCUCAAUCUCCUUUUUAUUUCUCUCCCUCUCAUAGAUGUAUAUAUACACACACACACACACACAUACAUAUAUACAUACGUAUGUAUAUAUGUAUGUGUGUCUAUAUAUACAUACUUCUACUAUCGAUCACAGAUCUUUAACCAAACUUAAAUUUAAACUUUUUCUUAAAAAAUAUGUCAUUAUGGUUAUCUAAUUCGCGGCAUUAAUUACAAGUCUAACAAAUUAUCUAAUUUUUAUUAAAACGAGGAUCAGUCAUGUUUUUAGUGUUUUUUGGGAAUAAAAUAUACCGCUAUUAUAUUAACUCGAUUAACUUAACUCGGUGCGAAAAUCUAAGGCCACUGUAGAGUUUUCGUUACAAAAUAAUAGCCAGCUAAAUUGGUCCAGCUCAGUUCAAACAUUCGUUAUGCUAAUGAAAAGGGCGAUAAUGGUGGAAUGUCAUAUAUAAUACAUACUACUAUUAUGUAUGCAUAUAUCUUUUUCUUACUUAAAUCUUUUACAAUCACAGAUUAUAAAAACUAGAUAUUUCAUUUAGAUGUAUUAUUAGACCUCAGCAAUACUCUAUAUUACUGUCACGAUUGACUAUGUGGAUUCACUUUCUUAAUAUGUCCUUUCUUCACCGCGCACGGCUCUUCAGCCUACAUUAUCAUAAAUCAAUCACAUUUGGCGGGAAUCAAGAGCAAUCGCUUGGUAUAAAAUUUGCCUAAGCGACUUCUGGAUAACAAAAGUCGAUACAACACGCGGUUUGGCUGAGGUCAUUAUUUCAUAUGCAGCACAUGAGACAUUUUACCAUAAAAAUUCCGAAUACAAAGUUUAAAUAUUAAAUCGUAUGAAGCAGCACAUCGUAUACAGCUUUUCUUCCAUUAAAUAUCAAACAUUGUAAAGCCUUUUUUCCUUUAACUAUCUAACACUGUAUAAAGCUUUCUUCCAUUAAAUAUCAAACAUCGUAUAAAGAUAUUUCCUUCCAUUAAAUAUCAACCAUCAUAUAAAACUUUUCUUGCAUUUAACAUACAUACAUAUUAAUAAACCAUUUUUAGAUCAUCUCGAAGAAAUCUAACAGUCGCACAUACACGAUGAAGAGAACGGCGGCGAAUAUUAAAAGUACAUAUGCCUAAAAAUAAUCUCGUCCCGUGCAAGCAUAAUUGUCGACAGCUAAGUACAUAACAUGGAUAUCAGAGGAACAAUCAAUAAUCAUUAGAUUAUAAUCAUAUAUGUGUAUGUGUAUGUAACAGUUCACGGGCGUUGUAAAGCAAAAAACCGAACUUAGGAUAAGUUUAACAUAAAUGAGAGUCCUCGUGAUUCAGAGAUAUCAAUUGGGCCCACCCUGUAUAAAAUGAGCAAGUUGUUCAGAUUAUGAAAUCCGAUUUGCAGAUUUGAUUUUGGUAAAAUUUCUAAAUUAUACACACACACUAUUAUAAAAACAUAUGUAUUUUUUAUCAUGUACAAGAAUUUCAAAGAAACUCAAACGAGAUCAUAGCUACUCAACAAAACACAUAGUUUACACGGGAGUUUCUGAAUUUAUAUGGAAAGAAAAUAUAUCUGUGUAAGCGUCUCUCUUUUUCAUAUCAUUAAAAGAGAUUAUCACUUUUGAAAUUGAUCACAGAUCAUCUCUGCGAAAUUUCAUUUAAUCGUAAAAAUGAUCGUACUUCAAACUAACAACAAAGGCUGCGUUCCGUUAUUCACUGCCAGUACGGAAAAUCUAUAGCUUAUGUCACGUGAACUAUAGAUUUUCAGUACUGGCAGUGAAUAACGGAACGCAGCCCAAGAUAGUAACAACAAGUUGCGACAAUGAUUACAACAAUCAAUAAAAUAAUACAUUCACGACUCGGAUGUUAUGAUGUAAUAUCUCUAUGUGAUUUUUCCAUGUUAUAAAUAGACACUAUAUAUUUAUACACUUCUUAAUUAUCUUAAGCGUCUUAAAUGAUGCUGCAUAUAUCUGCAUAUACGUAACAUACAUAUAAUCUUGAGAAAUAUAUAUAUAUAUAUAUAUAUAUAUAUAAUUCGAAUACAAAUAUGUACGUCAAUUAAAUAUAAAUCAUAAUGUAAUAGAUUCUUGCAUCAACAUUUGUUUUAUAGUACGCAUGUAAAAGAUUUACAAAAUUGUUGGGAGAAAAUAUACAUCUACGGACAACAAUACCUAUUUAAAAUAGAUACAGGAAUAACUAUUUGCACAAACUGUAUAAACAACACAAUAGGAAAUGAAUGAAAAGAAUGUUUUCAGGAAACGUGCUUUUGGGAAUGACUCCGCAGUAAUUUUGUUGAGAUGCCAAUACUGAAUGUAAAUCAGAUACAGUCAAAACUUAGUUUUGACGUUAACAUCAUGUAAAAUAUACAUUCAUGUUUCUUUAUAAACAUAAUUGUUUCUUAAGCGAUGCUUGUAUUUUCUUAUUAUUAAGCCAAUAUACAACUAAUUCCAAAUCAUCUCUAUAAGUAACUUGCGAAUGAUAAUUGUAUAAAACAAUGGAAGUGGUUGUCACUAGCAGAUAGAAAACUAUAAUCCCUUUUUAAAUUCGCAUCGAUCAGUAUUAUUUACAACAAAUAACAAAGGGAAAAUGAUACAUUGUAUUUCAAUCUGGCAGUGUCCUUUUUAAAAUUCCACAACACGUUUCCUGUUUCUUCAUCUACUAUUAAUAAAUGUAUGUCGUUUUCUCGUACAAAUAAUUCUUAAGUCACAUGCACUCAAAUUAUUUUAUGCGUUCUGAUAGUUAAUUAUACUAUAAACCAAAUGUACAAAUAUAAAUCAAAAUACCCAAAAUACACUAAGAAAAUUCCUAUUUUCAAACUUUUUUCAUUUCUUUUCUUCUUUUAAAUACCAAACAUCGUAUGAAGCUUUGCUAUUUUCCUUUACAAUAAAAAAACAAGGGAGCUUACCAUGGCGGUGUCAAUUUUGAUCAGACUUGUGCCAGAGAUAUUAUUUUGAAGAUCUUAUUAAUAUCCCUAUGCAAGAACUUAUUAAAAAAUGUUAAACCUUACAAAUCAAUUUUUCAUUAAAAACAUCGAGAGAUGAUUCAAGGAAGAUACUUGAUUGUUUACACAAAAAGAAAUGUUAUACACUUACAAAAAGCUAAUCUCGUAUUGAAGAAGAGAUUAUCAUGUUUAUAACCAUAGAUUAUUUGUUUAAUUUUUUCUAUCAUCUUACGUCAAAUAGAAAGAAAUUAAAAGAUGAGUCUAAACAUAACGCUUCAAUUAUCAUAAAUGUAUGAAUUGUUACUUCAUUGAUAGUAAUUGUCGUUAUAUUGUAACAUAUAUGCCAUAUACAGGACAUAUUUUAAUUUGAAUUUUUUGAACCAUAAUUUUUUGGACUAUAAUUUUCUGGAACAUAAUUUUCUGAACCAUAAUUAAUCCAAGUUAAUGUAAUGUUUAUAUGAACUUUAUAUAGUUUAAAUAAAUGUAAUUUAUAGCAACUAUAACAUUCUACAUAGAUAAAAUGUAGAUUUAUAAUAUCAAAGUAUUUAAGAUUCGAUAUGAUUAGUUUCAUGUAAAUCUUAUAAAAUCGACACUACCACAAUUAAAGCUCUGACUCAAGAAUAAAUCUUUCAAUACAAUGCAGUCGCACAUGGGAACGAAUUACCAUAUUCGAUUGGAGUAAAUUAUACGGUGACAUGAUGUGUACUGUAUAUAAUGUACAUAUAUACAAAAUGGAACAAAUGGUACCAUGCCGUGGUACAUUUUUAAUAUCAAAAAAGAGAAAAAGACCAGUAAAAAUAAUUUAGCGAGUUUAGAAUCGCUAUCAGAACAAUGAUAUUAUUAAUAUUAAAAAAGAGAAAAAGACCAAUAAAAAUAAUUUAGCGAGUUUAGAAUCGCUACCAGAACAAUUACUGAUAUUAUUUCCGUUUACAUUUCUGAAAGUCGAACUCACAUAUUCAGAUGUUUACAUACAUUUAUAUAUAAAAUUACAAUUAUAUACAUUCAACUAAAUGUGUGAGUUCUCAAAAGUUACUCGCUCCUCUCAAUUUGCUCCCACCAGAAACAUUAUAAAAGAGGAAGAUAAGAAGACAGAAAAGGAGAGGAUUAUUUUCAAACACAUAUCUCAUCCCAUUCCCUGAUCGCAUGUACAUGCACUAAUCGCGAAGGAAAAACAAGAAGAAACACUGACAUUCGUGAAAUAAAGAGAACGCAAAUGGAAUAGAACGACACAGCGCAAUCAUCUAAAAAAUGCACUACAAUGCACUUCACUGGAUAAUUUCGAUCGAUCAAAUAUAUACACAUAUGUAUAUAAAUUUUUACUAAAUGUAAAAAAGUAUCUGAGAUUUUCUAUAAAAAAAUCAAGUCAAGCUUAAAUCAUCUUCUGUAAAUGUAUUUUAUUAUUUUAUAAAUCAUUUCAUAAAAUCUAUCUAAGUAAAUUUUGUUCAGACUAUACGGUAUGAAGAGAUUUUAAAGAAACUCAUCAAAAGUUAAACAAUUUCUAAAAGAUUCAUAUACAAAUUUUUCGACUACACAAAGACAAUCAAGAAUAAUCUUUCCCAGCAAGAUAUAUUUAUAUAUGAGGAAAAUACUUUACAUUUAUAAGAUGAAUUAAGCUUGUUUUGAACCAUAAUUUUUACGAUAAUUUUCUGGACCAUAAAUUUUUUAAUCAUAAUUUUUAUUUAGGUUUUCUCUCAAUUAUUAUCUAUUUAUCUAAUUGAAAACGGCAUAACUGCAUUUAGAAAUUUUAUUAAAGCAGAAAAAGAUUAUAUAUGUAUAUAUAUACUAUUAUAAAUAUAAAUUUUAUUUUUGUUUUUUUUGAGCCAUAAGUUUUUAAACCAGAAUUUUCUGAAUUAUAACUUUUUAAAGCAUAAGUUUUUGACUAUAAUUUCACAUUAUAAGAUAUAUAUAUGUAUAUAUAUAUAUACUAUCGUAUAUAGAAAUUUUAUUUAUGUUUUUUGAGCCAUAAGUUUUUAAACCAGAAUUUUUUGAAUUAUAACUUUUUGAAACAUAAUUUUAUGAAUUAUAAUUUCAUAUUAUAAGAUAUUAUUCAAUCAUAAUUUUUUUGUAUGUUUUCUUUUUUGUAUAUAAAUUUUUUUGCGUAUAAUUUUAUUUUUCUGUAUAAGUUGAAAGAUCUAUCAAUGAUAUACGCCGACUUUGGGAAAUCAUGAGUGCGUUCCGAAAUGCGCUGACAAUACUAUUGAAACUUUAUAGUACGUGUCACCGAGUUAUAUUUUCAAUAUUAUAAAUGCAUCUCGGAACGUAUCUCAUCUAUAAUCAUAAAAAACUAAUCUAUCCU
rnacentral:lncRNA from 1 species